rnacentral:rRNA from 1 species
GAGGAAUUUUGCGCAAUGGGGGCAACCCUGACGCAGCAACGCCGCGUGAGUGAAGAAGGCCUUUGGGUCGUAAAGCUCUGUCAACCGGGAAGAAGUUAUGGGAGUCGAACAGGCUUUCAUAUUGACGGUACCGGUGAAGGAAGCAUCGGCUAACUCCGUGCCAGCAGCCGCGGUAAUACGGGGGAUGCAAGCGUUAUUCGGAAUUAUUGGGCGUAAAGGGCGCGUAGGCGGUUUUGUCGGUCAGAUGUGAAAGCCCGGGGCUCAACCCCGGACGUGCAUUUGAAACAGCAAGACUUGAGUACGGGAGAGGAAAGCGGAAUUCCUGGUGUAGAGGUGAAAUUCGUAGAUAUCAGGAGGAACACCGAUGGCGAAGGCAGCUUUCUGGACCGAUACUGACGCUGAGGCGCGAAGGCGUGGGUAGCGAAC